UAAAAAAUUAUGCUGUUUAUGGACUCAAUACACUAUCGAAUGCAACGGCAAAGCAGUGGUUCCCACUAUUCCUUUCUGGUAAUAUGGACAUCGAAAAGGUCAAUAAAAUAAUGGAAAUCAUCGAAUUGGACCGGCAUAUAUAUCUACGUACAUCUUUGGUUAUGAAACAUGGUAUUUUAUAUGAAGUUCUGACUCAUUGAAUCAAAGGAUGAUCAAAUAUAUUUGAAUAGAUCUCAAUAAUAAAGGGCGUCACUUUUAUAUUUAUUGUAUGUAUAUGGAAUGAAUUAAGUUCAUCGAUAAUCCCCGGUCAAUAAAUAUUCGUGAAUCGUGACUAUGUGGAGAUGGAUUAUUUGCACUUGUUAAAAGAAGGGUCUAUAAAUUAUAAUACUUGUACAUACAAGUUGAAAGUGCACAUUUGUGAAUUGAAAGAAAAUUAAUUAGUCAAACGGAUGGAUUAAAGUAUAAAUACUAGUAUUGGGU
rnacentral:lncRNA from 1 species